rnacentral:rRNA from 1 species
ACUCCUACGGGAGGCAGCAGUGGGGAAUUUUGGACAAUGGGCGAAAGCCUGAUCCAGCAAUGCCGCGUGAGUGAAGAAGGCCUUCGGGUUGUAAAGCUCUUUUGUCAGGGAAGAAACGGUGAGAGCUAAUAUCUUUUGCUAAUGACGGUACCUGAAGAAUAAGCACCGGCUAACUACGUGCCGGCAGCCGCGGUAAUACGUAGGGUGCAAGCGUUAAUCGGAAUUACUGGGCGUAAAGCGUGCGCAGGCGGUUUUGUAAGUCUGAUGUGAAAUCCCCGGGCUCAACCUGGGAAUUGCAUUGGAGACUGCAAGGCUAGAAUCUGGCAGAGGGGGGUAGAAUUCCACGUGUAGCAGUGAAAUGCGUAGAUAUGUGGAGGAACACCGAUGGCGAAGGCAGCCCCCUGGGUCAAGAUUGACGCUCAUGUACGAAAGCGUGGGGAGCAAACAGGAUUAGAAACCCCGGUAGUCCCAUG